AACGAACGUUAGCGGCGCGCCUAACACAUGCAAGUCGCACGAGAAAGGGCUUUUCGGCCCCGGUACAGUGGCGCACGGGUGAGUAACACGUAGAUAAUCUUCCCUCGAGUGGUGGAUAACUCUCCGAAAGGAGAGCUAAUACAGCAUGAGACCACGGCUUCGUUGAAGCUGCGGCCAAAGCAGGCCUCUACACGUAAGCUUGCGCUUGAGGAUGAGUCUGCGGCCCAUCAGCUAGUUGGUAGGGUAAUGGCCUACCAAGGCUAAGACGGGUAGCUGGUCUGAGAGGAUGAACAGCCACACUGGAACUGAGACACGGUCCAGACUCCUACGGAGGCAGCAGUGGGGAAUCUUGCGCAAUGGGCGAAAGCCUGACGCAGCGACGCCGCGUGAGCGAUGAAGGCCUUCGGGUUGUAAAGCUCUGUGGGGAGGAAAGAAUAAGGUUUGGCUAAUAUCCAAGCCGAUGACGGUACCUCCUUAGCAAGCACCGGCUAACUCUGUGCCAGCAGCCGCGGUAA
rnacentral:rRNA from 1 species